UACGAAGGGGGCUAGCGUUGUUCGGAAUUACUGGGCGUAAAGCGCGCGCAGGCGGCUAUCCAAGUCAGUGGUGAAAGCCCGGGGCUCAACUCCGGAAUUGCCUUUAAGACUGCAUCGCUCGAAUUGUGGAGAGGUAAGUGGAAUUCCGAGUGUAGAGGUGAAAUUCGUAGAUAUUCGGAAGAACACCAGUGGCGAAGGCGACUUACUGGACACAUAUUGACGCUGAGGUGCGAAAGCGUGGGGAGCAAACAGG
rnacentral:rRNA from 1 species